rnacentral:rRNA from 1 species
UACAGAGGUCUCAAGCGUUGUUCGGAUUCAUUGGGCGUAAAGGGUGCGUAGGUGGCGGGGUAAGUCAGGUGUGAAAUCUCGGGGCUCAACCCCGAAACUGCACUUGAUACUGCCUUGCUUGAGUACUGGAGAGGAGAUUGGAAUUUACGGUGUAGCAGUGAAAUGCGUAGAUAUCGUGAGGAACACCAGAGGCGAAGGCGGCUACCUGGACAAUUGCUGACGCUCAGGCACGAAAGCGUGGGGAGCAAACGGG